CGGCGGACACGUCAACCCCGCCGUCACCUUCGGCGCCUUCAUCGGCGGCAAUAUCUCUCUCCUCCGCGGCCUCCUCUACUGGAUCGCCCAGCUCCUCGGGGCCACCGUCGCCUGCGGCCUCCUCAAGUUGGUCACCAACGGCCAGGUAACUUUCUCAUCUCCCACUUCCCACUCCACGUUCCGUUAAUACCGUUUUUUUAGGUAAAUAAAAAAGUGACUUAAGCUACGGGUUUUGAUACGGUGCUUCGCAGACUACCGCUGCUUUCUCCCUGUCCCCGGGAGUGGGAGUGUGGAACGCGUUCGUUUUCGAGAUCGUGAUGACGUUCGGACUGGUCUACACGGUCUACGCGACCGCGAUUGACCCGAAGAAAGGGAGCGUGGGGACAAUCGCGCCCAUCGCGAUUGGUUUCAUCGUUGGCGCCAACAUUUUGGCGGGUGGGGCUUUUGACGGGGCGUCCAUGAACCCGGCCGUUUCUUUCGGGCCGGCGUUGGUGAGCUGGAGCUGGGAGAACCACUGGGUCUACUGGGCCGGGCCUUUGAUCGGCGCCGGGAUCGCCGGGGUCAUCUACGAGUUCGUGUUCAUCGGCAACAGCGGCCACGAGCAACUGCCCUCCACUGACUACUAAUUGAUUAAGCCUUAAGUAAGUAAGCUUAAUUAAGGAGUCAUAAGAUUUAAUUACAUUUGCAUGCAUGCUGGGUUUUGGACCUUUGAGUUCUUGUGUUUCGUUUCAUCAAGAAAAUCAUGAUCAUGAUCGUUGUCGUCAUGAGUUGAUCUCCAUCGUUGAUUUGUAAUUUGUUUUGCAUGCUCUCCGCUGUUGUGUCACUAAAUUCCAUUUAUCUUUUGUAUUUACUGUAUUUUAAAUUGUUCUUAAUUUUAUCGACUGCUAGUUUGGACCCUACGAGAAUGAUCGGAGAAAAGCAAAUACUAAGGUGGGGUUUAGUUAAAAAGUUAAAUCUGGAACCUCACUUAAUUUUUCGGUAGGUUUAACCUACCCUUUACGGUAAAAACCACCCUGCAUGCAACUGAUUUGACCCUUGCCACCGACAAUAUAAUAUUUUCUUGGAUUCGUUCAUAAUCAUAUGAUUAAUAUUACACUAAUCAUAUUUUUAAACUACGCUGGUGAAUCAAAUUAUAGAAAACUUAGAGCGUACUUGCCAGGUAAUUAAAUUCUUAUUAUCAUUAUGACAGAUCAUAAAUAAUACAUCAUCAUUACUUGAUAAUUUAAAAUAAUUCGUAAUAAAAUCAAUUGUCUCAAAGUAUAUAACUAACGAGAAUUAACGUAUGCAUGCAUAUGUGAGGCUGAAUUUCAAGUGAAUUGAUCCUUUUUUAACGGAGAAAAAAAAACUUAUACAUGCAUCUGAUGAUGUGUCUGUGUGUUUGAUUCCUCUUUUUCAAUAUGUAGUUUGAAUAGAAAUGGUAUUCAUAUUUUGUGCAAUAUAUUGAAAUUAAGCAAGCAGAAAACAUACAUUUUGAAACUAAUUACAACUAGCUACAAGAUAUUCUUAUUUAUAAAUGGUAUAUAUUUAGAAGUAAUAUUACCAACCUAGCUAAAGCUAAGCUUGGCCAACGUAAAUACAAUUUAUAUAAAUAUAUAUAUAUAUACACACACACACACAACUAUUUUACAUGUGACUAGCUAUGGAGGAGUAAAUUCAACUCAACUGCAUGCAUGAUGCAUCUUCAAUAUUUGUGCAUGCAAUGCAAUGCAUGGUGAUUCAAUUAAUAUCAUGUGGCCUUGGAAAUUAAAGGGGCUUUUGAUAUGAUAUAGUCUUUAUGUCGGUGGAUGUAUUUGAUUUCACGUGGACGGCCUGAGGUGGGUGUGAUUCACGUCCAGGUCCACCAUAAAAAUGAAGACUGCCCAUAUGAAAUGUAUGCGACAAAAUUAAGUAAAAAGAUGGCACUAUAACGUUUCGUUCUAACAAAAUGAUGAUAAGCGUAAGUUUUUUAACACACAUCAAUGUUUUAAGUGAAUCAGGUGUAAACGUGUUCGAUAUAAGUUGUUCUCAAACUAGAGGAAGGGUACUAUACCCUACUUCCAUUUCACAGAAGUCCGAAAAUGAUCUUCAUGGAGCGAAUUCAUCUUUCAUUUCACGCAACAAUACAUUACCAGAUUAAAAACGAGGACAUUAUAACCUUAAAUCCGUUUUGUAUAAAAGCCGCUCUCGACAUUCCUAAUCAUCAUCUCACCCUCAAUCAUGAAAUGUGAAGCAAUCAGAGCACGUGAGAAUUAUGGACCAUUUUUUUGCAGUAUCAUCACCAUCACCAAAUGGAUGGACCCUAAACUUGUCCUUUUAGUCUGCCUCUUUUGGCUACCUUUGCGGGGUGCCAUUGUUUUCAAACUCUAAAGCUCAAAAGCUUACUCCUUUUUUUUCUCCAUUGAAAAGCUUCGACGUGUUAAUUACCCUUCUUUCUCUCACUGCAAUAUUCACUACUGCAGGAAUAUACUGUUGGAUGAGGCAAGUGGCGAAGUCCAUGACGUGGUUCCAAGGUGGCCACAGAUUCCAUGCUACCUUCCAAAUUUCAAAGAUCUUCAAAAGAGAUUUUCGGGUCCCAUACCUCACCCGCCCAUAUGAGUUUCUUUUUCAAUCACACAGUUCAAAAUUAAUUUACCGUUUUGAUCAUAUGCGGUAUUAUCAUUCUAAGUUGCAUUAAAUUUAGGAAACUUUAACGAAAAGCACCCGGUACUGUUCAUUUUAACGAAAAAUCACAUUUUUACACUAAAAAGUCAAUCCUGGUACUAUUCACUUUACCCUUUAUUUUGUCCUUAUCAUUAAAACUCAAAGUUUUCAAGCCCUUUUCAUUAGUUUUCCUUUAAAUUUAAGAGGAGCGGAAACGGAUGAGAGUUUGAAUCCGAAGAUUGAAUAAGUCAAAAAAAUCAAGUAACUACUAUUAAGGGAAGCGGAUAUUGAGAGUUUGAAUAUGAAUGUCCAAGUCCAAUAAGAGAAGCAUUAGAAAAACCAUUUUUAUAUGGGCAGAUAGAUUAGAGUCUGAAUAUGAAGAUUCAAUAAGAACAAAUAUUAUCAUUCUAAGUUAUAUCAAGAGAAGCGGAAAUGAAGGAGAGUUUGAAUACGAAGAUUCAGUAAGAGAAACCGUUUUCUCUACAUGGUUACUUCGUCUAUAUAUUAAGACGGUUCUAUACAAAUAUCUUGGUUUUAAAAACUGCACAUAUUUACUAGCAUAGUCCACCACUUACAGUAUAUGUUUGAAAUUUCAAAAUAUAUAUCAAUAGUAGUAAACGUAAGAGAGAAUAUAUUAACAAUCGAGAUCACGUUGUUUCGAUUACCAUGCAAGGAUAUGACAUUUCACCCUUCCAUGUUUGUAUUUUUACUCUCUUGGAAUGUUGCGUGUAUAUAUGAGCAUGUAAUGCUUUGAAUUUAGACAAAAGUCGAUUCCAUGACUUUACAGCGAAGCAGGUGAAUUUUUUUUCUUUCUUGACUCAAAAUUUUACAUCUCUUUGGCUCUUAUAGCUUAAUAAUAGCGCACCAUUUUCAACUGGUGUCCAGUGGCGUUCCAUCUGUGGCCUUUGUCCCACUAGGUUGCUCGGAUUAUUAAUUAUAAACCAUAAACCAUGAGUGAGGUUGGUAAGGUGGGGAUGGACGGUGAUGAACAAACAAAUGAGGAUCCUUUAUGUAUUUUUUAUGAGGAUUUCGAAGAUUAUUUAAUUUUGUUUAUUUAUCGUACAUUAUGCGGUUAAAAAUUAUUUUAUUUUAUAUUUAAAAUUGAACACAAAUAAUAUCCGACAAAAGCUGAUCGCACGAUUUACUAUAAAUAGAUACGAUUAAAGGAUCAUCUGGAUCCUCACAAAGAGGAUAUGGAGACGAUCCUCAUUCUAAACAAAUAUCAAAUAUCUGCGUGUGGAGGACAAGUUCACAGGCACCCAUCACGUCAUGUUUUAAUAAAAUAACGAUCUGUGUAAGGUUUUCAAUUGUGUAAGGUUUUCAACACAUGACAUGUAUCAGACAAGGAUGUUAUAUGAAGGCGAACUCGUUUGAUGUAAAAUGCUCUUUUUUGUGAGGAAAAAACCUUAUAUAUAACUAGUUACAAUCAAUGUGGCGUCGUAAUCCAGUAACGUCAUGUUAUGUGUAGAAUUUUCUCUACACAAUAUAAUAUUAUUGAAUCGGUACGUUACAUGAUUGUAAAUAUGACAAGUUAAUUUACUAUGUUAGAGCCACCGUGUACGUAUGGCCUUAAAUAUUCUUGUUCUCCAACAAAUACUAGACAAUUUGAAUAGUUGAGGGAAUUAUAUAAGGAAUUAGGAGGCACUGUGGGUAUCCAUAUGGUCAUAUGGACAAUUUUAAUUAGUCUAAUCCCCCAUGCCAACAUUCUAAAUUAAAGUAUGAAUUAUCCUAACCGAAAAUAAUCCCAUCCAUCAAUUGGGAUUAUAAUAAAAGGCAAGCCACGAUUAUUCUUAAAAAGGCAAUCAUCAUUCUUUAUAUAAUAAAAGGCCACCUCAUCCUCAUUUUGGUAGGAAGCCUCCUGAAAUGCUUCCUUUCACAUUCAUAUAUUAUGUAUGUUUGUAUCAUACUUGACCAAUCCCGAAAUUACUGAGCACCGGUCAAAGUUAUAUGGUCAAGGACCCAGAAGAGUUUCCCUCUAACCAGGAGGCCAAUCAUAGUGCGACACGUGUCAACAUCAAAAGCCAAUCAUACGAACGGUCAAUAAAAAAAAAAUCAACCAAAACACGACACGUGUCCAAUGUUCAGAGCAAAGGUGAAAUUCUCUUCUAUAAAAGGAGAUCUCUCUCCCACAAUAUUUUUAAUGUCAUUUGUACCAAAAUCAUUACUACGUAUCACUAAAGGAAGCUUGAACCUAAAUGUAUUUGCGCCUUCACAAUUAUUUAAGAACGCUUUACUUCUGGACGUACCAAUCUGAUGAACGAUGUAAUCUUGUGUUUGCUUCCCUGUCUCUAUCCAUUUACAUACUAUUAUCCACACUAGUGAUCAAGGAAGGCUAAGUCUCGCGAAUGAACACAAACUGACAUUCUUGUGAGUACCAGUCCGUACAUCUGAUAAUGUUGCAUAGACAUCUUUUGGCCGUCUGUUGUGCGAAUAAGACACUUACCUUCCUAUAAAUUGCUCUUCAGCGUUUGAGUCUAAGGCUGGGCUUUCCACAUUGUCACAAUUCCUCUAUUUGGACAGCCAGUCAAGUCAUCAUACCCUAUCACGAGAUCAAUUGGGGACGCGAAGGAAUCCACUACAUAAAAGAAGAGGAACGAUGGGUCACCCAUCUGCCCUAGUGCAUAAGGACAAUGAAAGAGGAACAAAAGAGAGUUUUCUCUUCAGGCUUAAAGUCGAUUAGCUGAAGCCUCGAACAACAAGAAUAGCAAUGAAGAAUGAGAUAUUCCAAGAGCAGUAUGAGAAGGACUUUGAGGAGCCUCCAAUCGAGUAGAUAAUAACUAAAACCACACAGUCAUCACCCCUGUGGAACUCACCAUCAACUGGUGCCUCCAACACGGAGGGUCAUUUGCCCUCAACAGGGUAUUCCUGUUGAGGAGGAGCUACUAUCGAAAUGGCGACCAACAGAGAUUUCUUCCAACCUAGCUGCUUCGACCAGGAAUAGGAGGAGUGGAGGAAGGCACAUUCUUAGACAGAAGGAGGGAAGAUCGAAAGUCCGUCUUUAGCGAGAUAGUCGAGACUAACAAAAAACGAAUGAAGACAAUGUCGAUCCAUGUAAGCUCGAAGAACUACCCAGGGUCCUGAAUCGGUCCCUCUAAUGUUCCAGGCUGGCUUCCAAUUUUGGGGAGGGGCAACAAGUCAGAGAAACACGAAGUUUAUUGAGGGGACUUAGAAGAUGUUCAACAGACCAUACAUUAAGUACGGCGAUCCAAGGAAAAAUCACAUCGCUCUUGACUCAAUCUCUCCUACUUCAAGAGAAAAGGAGAUUACGAAAGAAAUCUCCAUGGUACAUGACUCCACUCAAGGACCCUCUUUGUCCGACAUUUCUUUAAGGAAGAAACAAGUUGAAUGUAAAUGAACGACAAGCUGAGAUGAAGGUUAAGAAAACCUAGGCCUGACCAUUCUCUUAAAAGAAGAUCCUCGACACCUGUCUCUAUGGACCAAGCGAGAGACAACAAAAAACGUUCGGUUUAGUAAAUCCAGACCAGCUGGAAGGUUGUGUAUUCUGUUUUUUUUCUCGAAAUUUUUCGAAUAUCUAUUGCCUAACCUUCUUUGAGGUCCCAUCUCAUGGUGGCUUUCUGUCUGUAUGUUACGCAAGUCGUGAACAAUUACUGCCAUGACUUUCUAUUCGCGCCUUCUUUCCACCCGUCUCUGUUGUGGGUAGCUAUCCAUGAGGCAGUGAAGUCGCUCUUGCGAGUCCAUGAAGUCAUCUUAUCGUAAGCUAAGACCAAUCGCCAGCACAUACCUAUGACACCAUGAUGGAACAAGAACCCCACCCUAAAAGCUUGACAGCAACGAUGGCCUGGUGUUACGUGAUAUUGUUUCUUCAAUGUAAGCGCAGACAGUUGAAUCAAGCUAACACUUUCGGAGAUUUGAAUAUGAAGGUGAAAUUACGAGACAUUUUAUGCUCUCACUAAUCCACGCCGGCGCCGAAGCAAGGAAUAUACAAGGGAACCUCAUAUGGUACACCUUAUCAACAAAUGAGAAGGUGAAGUCCAAGUUCUACCAAAGUGAGGAGAUCUUGGCCAUACUUUAGAACACCCCCACUGCAUCCCUCCUGCUCAAUUUAGCUACUCGCUAAGUCACCCAACGUAUUUGGUCUCUUGGGUAAAAAGGAAUGAUGUUUACUCUCAACAAACCCAUUACAACAAGAGGGAUAAAAGUAUCGUAUUAAGACAACCAGGGUGAAGUACUCCGCGACUAUUAUGGACUAGAGGGCCAAGCCUACACUCUUUCAAAAAAAGAAGGACUACAAAACUUAUGAAGGAACAUGCUAAUUAUAGGAGACAUUAGCAAUUGAAGUCCAGCACUAAUUUAGACCCUUAACCGCUUGAGAUCUUUUUCACAUAAGCAUAGCAGAUCUUCUAAAUUUAAAAAGAGGGAAUCAGACACUUAUUUAUCUUUUGCUUCUGUUCCUCAGCUUGGUUCGCGACCGCUGACUUACUCUACCUAUCCUAUUCAAGCUUCAACAAUGCGUCUUUCACAACCAAUGCGUAGACUACACACCUAUCUAGUUUUUAAACAUAGUUCGAACAUCGCGCAAAACAUGGAUCCUUUAAUGGCAUAGAAAAACAUUCAUAAGCUCCACUCAUGUCCACACAUGUCAAGACAUAAAUACAUUAUAACACCAUUCAACAAUAUCUAUCAUACAUUCCAAACACAUUCAUAACCACACAAUCUAUAAGGAUUUCAUAACAAAUCCAUACGAUAAGACAACGUGCUGUGCUAAAAAAGGGUUUCAACAUACUUUGUUCUUUGACAUAUUACACUUGAGAAACCGAGAUAACAAAAACUUUGCCUUGGCCGAAGACUGCUCAUAUUCAAAUCACCAACCAGGUGAUGACAUGAUAUGGGAACGACGACCGUAACCAAUAUAUCAUCUUUGUCAGAAAUUGCUGCGCCAUUCCACUACCGUACUACUGUAUUCAGCCAGAACUGGGUGGUAAGAAAUCGGAACUCCACCUAAAUAUCGUGCCACCAGUAGGUGAUGAAAUGUACACCCUAUACUCUCUUUCAGUCACUAACGCAGGUGAUGAAAUUACAACCCGUAAUCUAAUUCAUUUGGUACUUGCCACUAUGCCACCAACCAGUGAAGAGGAACUCAUCUUUGUCCACCAACCAGGUGAUCGAAUGUGAGAGAGGAAGCUUACUUCGUGCUCCAACCAGGUGAUGAAAGAACAGACCUGUACUCUAAUAUAUUUGCGCAACUUGCCACUCUUAUCACACUCAGGUGAAGAAACUCAUAUUCAUGCCGCCAACCAGGUGGAUGAAAUGUAAACCUGUAACUCCGCUGCUUGCACACCAGGUAGAUUAGUCAAGAAUGUGGUCGGAGUGCGCAUCACAUAUGGUGCCACCAAGCAGUGAUCAAAAUGUGAUGAAAAGGGUGAUGAAGGACUUCAUUUCGCUACCAACACCAUAGUGAUCGAACAGUCCAUAUUGAGCGCGGAGGUCCACAACACCAGUGAGAAUGUUUACAAAUUAAACUUUACAUAAGUAGCAUAAAAAAAUGAACCCUCAAGCUUGAACAAAUAAACUAGGGGGGCACUUAUUGCCUAACAAGAGUUAUAGGACCAACAAAGUCUUAUAUGCAAGGCAACAACGACUUUAGUGCAUGUAUUACGAAUCAAGCUCUUUCACCUCUUGCAUCUGCUUCAGACAUUUCUCCUCUGUAACAAUGCAACCAUUAUAACUCGUAGAAAGCUUCAGACACUCUUGAUCAAGAGCACGUUAGAAAGCAAAUUCCAUUUAUCUGAGUUAGUUUUCUCAACCGUCGACUAUACAUAGGCGGAGGCACUGCGUCACAAUGUCGUCACUCGGCUAGGAGGUAAGCAAGAAUUGUAUAUGUUUCUCUUUACAUUUGUGGUCAAAUUUGCUAAGUUUUGCCUAAAAAACAAUAGAGAAAUUGGGCAAAUUCCAACAACUUCACAAAGGAGGCGCCAUUAUAAUUCUCAAAACAGCACACAUCUUGACAAGAUAGUUGAAGCAAAUCAGAUCAUGGUACCCAAUAAAGCUUCAACCUCCAAAGCUUCCCUACAAAGCCUCACUAAAAAAAAACUCAAACCUCAAAGCUUCACAAAAAUAGUUCUUAUCUUUGAGAGUUAGGAGGGCAGAGCUAACAAUUCUUAAACGCUUCUUCACACACUCGUGAUCAAGACGAAGAUGUAAGCAAACCAAAUUUAUUGUGCCGGAAUGAAAAGAAAGCUUCAUUCAAAGGAUUCACCAAACCAAUUCACACACACUCUUGAUCAAUCACAGUGUGUAAGCAAAACCAUUUUAUUGUGCACAAAACUUCAUCAAUGGGGCAACAAAAUUCUCAAAAGCUUCAACACUUUGAUCAAGAUAGUGUAUAGUAAAACCAAUUUAGGUCCAAACAAAAGCUUCAUCAAAAGGAGUUCAACACAAUUAGAAAAGUUCACACAUUCUGAUUAAGGCAGUGUGAAGCAUAAAUCAAUUUUGGUGCCCAACAAAAGCUCAUUCAAUGGAGGGCAAUACAAUUCUCAAAAAGCUUCACAAACUCUUGAUCAAGACAGUGGUGAAGCAAACCAAUUUAUGGUGCCAACAAAAGCUCACUACAAAUUAUUCUCAAAUUCACCUCCAAGCUACCAAUCCCAAAUCAGACAAAAGUUCAACUCCAAGUUUCACCUACAAAAGCUAACUCUAAACCUUCAACACAAAAGCUUCACCUACAAAUCUUCAACACAAAGUUCACCUACAAAAGCUUCAUGUCAAUUCUCAUCCAUAGCUCACUUACAAGCUUACAUAAAAGCUUCACACAAAAGCUUUACCUAAAAAGCUUCACCUAAAAGCUUCACUUACAAAGCUUCACCUACAAAGCUCAACCUCCAAAAGCCUCUAAAGCUUCACACACUCUUGAUCAAAUAGUGUGAAGCAAAUCAAUCUCAUGGCUCCAACAAAGCUUAAUCUUAAACAUCACUUACAAAGCUUAAAUAUAUAUAUUUUCGAAAAUUCGAAAAAUAUCGAAAAAUUCGAACAAUUCAAAAAAUAAAAAAAAAAAAAAAAUCUAAAAAUUAAACAUUUUUCUAGAAAUUCGAAAAAAAAGCCCUAAUGAAAAAUGCUUUGGGUAACAACUUUCAUAACAACAUAUAUAUAAGAUUUGGGCUACACAAAAGGAAAAUCGGCACUUGUUACUCAAAAAGGCUACUAGCAAGACACCUCAUUCGUCAAACAAUCCACGGCACGUAACUUGGGGGAAUCAUACCAAUUGGACUGAAAAAACCCAAUCUAGACCACACCACACGUUGGGAUUUUUGCAGUCUCAAACCUGAGAGAAGUUUUCUUCACAUCGGGAAAUACAGGGAGCAUUAACCAUCAACCGUACAUGCUCACUACAAAGCUUCAACAUAUACAGCUUCAACAAAAAAAAAAUGCAAAGAUUUAGUGAAGAAAAGGCUUUUGGUGAAAUUUUAAGCAAAUACGUUAAAUGAAAGCAAAGCUUAUUUAAAAUUGAUAACCUUUCCAAUACAGUUACAAAAUAUGUGCAUAUACAUGAAAUAAAAUAAAAACAAGAAGGGAGCCUUCACAAAGGUGGUUAGGAGAAGUCUCAGCAGUACGGCAGAGCCCUAGAAAAGAAAAGGCAUCCGAAGGCCAUUCUUUGGAGCUCAGUACUGGGCAAAACCCCAGAGAAGAAGAGCACUAGAGGUUGAAUUUCAAUGUUGAGCUUCUUCAUAUACCCCACGCAAGACUGGAAGACAAUAAAAAAUGCCUUUGAACAAACCCAUAACCUCUGAUGAUCAAGUAAAGAAUUUGACUCAGAUCCUGCAGUGCCGUCAAGCUUUCGUCUUCAUGUAGUCAGGCAAUAGUCAUGUGGAGUCGUUAAACGAUUUAUUUCUCAUGUUUGAGCCCUUCUAAUAUCCUGUUUAGACUUAAUCACUUAAUGCUGCCAUGAUUCAACUGGAAGGUUUGAGCAACAGCGUUGGGCCAUAUUAGACACGACCUGCACACUGAACAUUGAGAGACAGAGAAUCCUUAAUAGCCACUCCUCAAACCGUUUGGAAAAUAGUCUGUUAUCUUUGGGAGUGAGAAAGGUUCUUGGCACAACCUGCAGCGGUCAUAUAACUUUCUUCAUCACGGAGUCCCUUCAAAACAAAGUAAGAGUACCCAGUGAAGGGUGUAAAGAAAGUGUUAAAUUCGGCACCAUCCCUCAGAUUUCGAGAGCCCCUUUUCAGUAAACAUAUGUUCGACAAAUCCUCCAAUUAAAUUAGCUAGGGUACACACGAUAAUUGCGCGAGAAACAAAAUUUAGACAAACAUACCUUGAGUCCAACUCUACCUCUAACUAUUACCAGGCCACAUCGGUUAUAAGAACCAGCACCACUGUCUUAUAUACUGGAAAGACUCCCUAUGUGUGGUCAACCUCCGUACCUCUGUGGCAAGGCAUAACUGGUAAACGCAUGGUAUGCCACCCUAUUACUCACAAUCCGGAAAACAUCCCCAACAUGAAUUUACUUGUCAAAUCGAAGGGGCAGCCCUUCUCUGACACAUCUCGAGAGCUACGUCCAGCCAGGAUUGCUUUCCUCAAAAUCGAAGAGGCACCCGCUCUCUCGAAUUUCGAGAGCUAGACUCCCACCAGGAUUGCUUUCUCAAAAACGAAGAGGCACCUCUUCGAUAUUUUCAAAGCCAGACUCCCACUAAUUGCUUUUUCAAACAAACAAUCUUAAAAGAAACCAGCUCUGUACAUUUUUUCUUUUGAAUAAAUCAAAAAGACUUCCAACAUGAUUGUUCUUAUAAAUCGAAGAGGCACUGCUCUCCGAAUCUUGAAAAAGCCACUCCAACAUAAUUGCUUCUAAAAAUUCAAGAGCACCACUCUCCGAAUCUCGAAAGCCAGAUCCUCACACCGAUUCUUCUCAAAAAUUGAAGAGGCACCAUUAUCUGAAUCUCGAAGCCAGAUCCAAUAGGAUUGCUUUCUAAAAAAAUUGAAGAAAACCGUUCCUCAAUCUCGAGAGCCAGAUCCCACAUGAUGGUAUUGUUAAAAAAUCGCAAGAGGCACCGCUUUCUGAACUUCGAGAGUUAGAUCCCCAACAUGAUAAAGCUUGUCUAUAAUUUUCCCACGCAACAUCGGCUUUCUAGAUACCAUAGACCACUUUUUCAAAAGUGCUUGACAGAGUUAAAACAUGUGAAUCUUGCAGCUCCCUCUAUAUUGCUUGACCGAGAAGAGUAAAGAACAACGUUAACUACUCGGAAAAUUUUCUAAUAUAUGUCGACCUCAAUCCUCACAGCCAAGAAACCCGCAAUAAAAAAAAGCCAAAUCCACAUCUGAGAAGGCUCUCAACAGAGUCUCUCGAAUACUCAGCUUCUUUUCCUCCCCGAUAAUCCUCUGCAAACAAGCCACACCAGAACAAAGUAAUCUCAUAUCAUCAUCGUUAAAAGCAAGAGUAUCCCAUAUCAUGUUUUUCCCUGUUUUUCCUUUUCCUUUGCUUUAUUGCAAAAGAACAAAGGGAGAAGAGAGAGCAAUCCAGUCAGCGCCUGGCUCGUUUCCAGUCAGACUGACUGCUGAAACUUCUUCUUGUUAUUAAACCCGGCAUUGCUUUGAGUACUCAUCUUCAACAUCUUAUGCUUCCAGAAAAGAUACCACAUCUACUUGAGAAACAAAUUGGGCAAGUGAGAAUGAUACAAGGAAGCAUGUGAAGACAAGCGCAACAGAACACGUGCCGAUUCAUCUAUUACUUUGUCAACAGCAAAAGUGCCCUAUCUCAAGGUCAACGCACUUUUGAUUUGAUGGCUUGUUUGACCUCAAAUUCUUGAGUCGGCCUUAUACUCUGAAGGAAACCAGAAAACCCUCCAGCCCAGUUUAAGAAUAAGCAUGUGGAAAGUUACUUCUUUAAAAGAAAAAGUAUCUCAUAUCAGCUCUUCUCUUUUUUCUUCUCUUUAUUCUUCUUGCUGCCUGCAAGAUAGGGAGAAUAAGAACAAUUAGUCGGAACUUGAAAUUAAACUUCUGAUCUAGGACUGAUUGCUGGGAGCUUUGAUUGCUUACCUUGUAUGUCACCUCUUUCGGCAGAUCUCAUAGCUCGGCGACUUGGGGGACUCCUACUACAUGGUUUGUAUCGCGCUUGACUAAGCCUAAAACUACAAGUAAGCUUCAAGUGAAAUUGAUACAUUACCUUGUGCAUCUCCACCGGUUAAAGAUACCACCCCUGGAUAGAGGAAAAAAAUACUUCCAAAGAAGAUGCCACAUCUACCUAUGAGACAGAUAAGGCAAGUGAAAACGAUACCACACUUCGGUACUUAAAAGUUUCAUGAUUAUUCAGCGGCUUGGAUUUUGCAAGUCCCCAACCGAUGAGCUUUCCUCACUCGGGAACUUAGGGGAGCACUGUUUAUACCAUACUUAACCAAUCCCAAAACUACUGAGCACCUGUCAACGUUAUACCGUCAAGGACCCAGAAGAGUUUCCCUCCAACUAGAAAGGCAAUCACAGUGCGACACGUGUCGACAUCAGAAGCCAAUCAUAGCGCGACACGUGUCAACAUCAGAAGUCAAUCACAACACGACACGUGUCAAUGUCAGAAUAAAGCUAGAAAUUCUCUUCUAUAAAAGGAGAUCAUUCUCCCACAAUAUUUUCUAAUGUCAUUUGUACCAAAUCAUUCACUAGUACUCACUAAAGGAGAGCUUGAACCUAUGUACUUGUGUAAACCCUUCACAAUUAAUGAGAACUCCUCUACUCCGUGGACGUAGCCAAUCUAGGUGAACCACAUACAUCUUGUGUUUGUUUCCCUGUCUCUAUCCAUUUACAUACUUAUCCACACUAGUGACCGGAGCAAUCUAGCGAAUUUCACUAACUUGACACUUUCUGUUGUACCAAAGUCCUCACUGAUUUUGUGCAUCAACAAUGUAUAUUAUUAAUGAGAAUUGUUAUUGGUACCCUAAAAUUUCAUUCUACACUCCAAACUUUCUAUAUUUAGAAAGAAAAAUACAUUUGUGAAGAGUAUAGAAUGAGAUUUUUGGAGUGCCAAUAACACUUCCCUUAUUAAUUCUCUUCUUACUAAACUGUAAACCACGUUGAUGUUGACAAUAAAAUGAAUAACUCAACUCUUUAUAGUCCUUUCAAAGUUGAUUGAUUUUCCGACAUCUAAUAAAAUUUUCACAUCUUCAUAAUCAAGAAUUUCUACAAGUUAUCGACGUUAGUGAAAUACACAACGCAAAAACUUGCGGAUGCAGUAUUGCUAAAAUUCCUUCCAACGGGUUUCUCCAAACGACCAAAUUUGAUGUUCUUGUAAGAAUUAUUGUGAGCAUCUAUAACUUUGUCAAUUAAUUACAUCACUUGAUUCGAGUGAUCUUGCAGCCCUAAUAUGGUUAGAAUAAUAGAGUAUUAACUCUGAUUAACCAAUUACGUAGUCCAUAUUUGGUAAGACUUAAUAUGGCGGGAUAUAAAAUAUAUAAUUGUGAUUAUGGUAUUUCUUAUUUAAUAAUAGGCUUAAUUGAGAGAUAUCUUAGCAACUAUAUAAGGAUUGUCCUUGCUCUCACAAUAAUCUAUUAUGUGUAAAACCCUAUUUAUAGCAAGAACAUAUAGUUUGGAGAGAGUAGAAGACAUUCGUAGGCAUACGCCAAUUCCUUUGUCAUCUAGAAGAGCCAUGUCUUCCGUAUUCUACAUAUAAGUUCAAUAUAAUUAAUUCAUCUAUAUUUUAUAUUGAUUCAAUUCAUUAUAUUCGUGAUUCUAAUGUCUUGUUGUUGUCAUUUCAGAAUAUGUCUUACAGCUCUUAGAUAUGUUUGGGUCAUGGUUUAUUUUCGUUCUGUUAAAGUUUAGGCAUAUAUGAUCAACAAAGCUUAGUCAAGUAUUAAAUUAAACUAUACAUGUACAUAGUUCAAGUUUUAGGUUUCGAGGGCAAGCUCGAGUCCGAGUUUGAGACUUGAGGCUUGGGUCCGAAAAUUGGGGCAUGGCUCCGUCCUCUUGCACUUUCAACCUCGGACUAGUCCUCCCACUAUGCGUUCAUUCAUCUUCUUAAGAAAACAUCUUUUCUGUAAGAAUUACUGAAUUGCUAUCUACGAGGUGUCAAACCUUCUCAUUGAUGAGAGCUCUUGGGGAAGAUCAGUCUGUUAUCCUUAGAGUAACUUUUAUUUGUUGAGUGACGCCCCUUCCACUCGGCACCGCCGGAUCACUAAGGCCAACCUUCGUCCCUCUCGAAUAGUGGGUCUUGCAGUCAAGCUCUCUUUUACCUUUGCACUCAAGGGCCAAUCUUUGGUUUAGACUAUUAGACGACUAAGACUGUUUGUACCAUACUUAAGGCCUCCGUAUUUAGACCUCGUAUAAAUACUCGAGGGACUUAAAUGUAAUUAUGUAAUAAAUGAAGGGGCAAAUAUGUAAUAAGUGAGGAGCCCUUAUUCUAUAAAAGGACUCAUCAUUUUCCUCAUUGAGGGAGGCCAAUUCUUAGGCCCUGGGGAAAGAAGCCCCACUCUCACAUUAUAAAGGCUCUCUCCAUCUUCAACAUCUCAGAGAAAUACAAUAUCAUUGUGGAUGUAGCCUAAACAUUGGGGGUGAACCACGAUACAUCUUGUGUUAUUUACUUUCUUGCAUAUUCACGGUCGGAUUUACGUUGUUCCAAGACCCCUCCAGUUUUGUGCAUCAACAUUUGGCGCCGUCUGUAGGAAUCGACACAAAAAACUAUGUCGGUUCUCUCUUAAUUUUUCAUUUCACCACCGUGAGACCUCACCAUACUCCACCGAGAAUAUGCAGAAACCCAGAACCUCCCUCCUUGGGCUUUUCCAGAAAACCCCCAUAAAGACAAAGCCGUUUGUCCCUCCCUUUUACUUUCUCUUUCUAAAAACUCCAAAUUUAGAAAAGCUCUCUCUUUAAACUAAGCUUUCUCUCUCUAGAAUAUGCAGCAAUGAUAAAUAGUAUGCUAAGGCUCUCUCUCCUCUGACCCCAAGCUUCUCUUCAGCUACACCACUAACUCCUCCAAUGUUGACCGCUUGGGCUUCAACUGCGAACCGCCAUUCACCUGCCUCAUGCACCACAGAUUCAUCACCGCCAAUCCCACCGGUGUCCAGCACAUCCUGAAGACCAACUUCCCCAACUACCAAAAAGGACAAAGAGCACCUGGAUUCGAACUGACCUCUUCAGCGACGGCAUUUUCAACACCGAUGGAGAUGACUGGAAAUUCCAGCGCCAAGUCUCCAACCACGAGUUCAACACCAAGUCUCUGCGUAAAUUUGUCGAACAAGUGGUCGACACUGAGCUUUCCGACCGCCUUAUUACAAUUCUCUCCGUCGCCCUCGAGCCUCCAAACCUACCACCUUCUCAAUCUGCUUCUCGAACACAACACGGUCGUGACUUUUGUGUUCGUAAACUCAGACCCAAAACUGGAGAACCACGAACUCAGUCGCGCCUGGAAUUUCCGACGAGUUUUCCAUCGUUGUCCCAAUCAAUAGCAAAAGAAAAGUCCACUGCAGGACUCCGACGAGUUGCAGAGAGAAACACCACCGAAGACUACGCCAACGGCUUAUCGUCUUACUACGAGGGGGUCUUUCUCGCUCAGGGCAAGACCAUGAGCGUUUAUUUCGGGUCAAACAAUUACACCGACCCGACCCGACUUCUCCGUUCCCUUCGACACUCGAUGCUACAUAUGAUACUGGAGAACGAGAUAUACUCUAAAGACGAUCUUCGGGAGCUUCUUAACUGUUUUUUGCAGCUCAACUUUCCCUACAACCACGACAUUAUCAUCAGGGUUUUCACUGAGAUCUGGAUUGUUGUUUUCUCUGUCAGGUUUGGAGGUUCGACGUUGCUGCACUUUGCGAGCAACAAGUCAUGUGAGUACGAGCUAAAGCUGUAUCUUGUGCAUGUGCAACGGAGUUGGGAGACUGAGUUUCCAUUUACAUGUCGAGUUAAGCAGAAAGACAAUGGGAUUAAAUCAAGUUACUUUGCCGUCUGUGGCCACGUCAUCGACUCUGGGCUUGUUCAAGCCGUUCAGCCUGAGAUCCAUGGACGAAAUGACUUCGUGCUCGACCGUGGAUGGCGGUCUUGUGAUGAACAACCCGACGGUGGCGGUUGUUACGCACGUGCUCAACAACAAGCAUGACUUCCCCUCCGUCAACGGCAGAAUAUUGGGACAAUAAGCAAUAAUUCAGAGAGCUCAAUGACCCAUCCCCUGCAUUUUCUUUACAGGGUGGUAGCCAUGUGAAAUAUUUUCUGAGAAAGCAAAAGAUGGCCUUGGGUGGAUAGAGAAGGAGUGGGGAGAUCAAGAAAAGCAAAAGAUAAGCUUCCUAUUAUUGUUAUUCUAUCAUGAUUCCUUUUGUUUGCCAGGUGAAGAGACAGAGAGAGUGCGGUGGAAAAGCAAAAGCAAAGCAGAAAAACAAAAGCAAAGCAAAAAAACAAAAGCAAAAGCAGAAAGCAAAAGAAAAUAAAAAAAAACAAACAUAAUUGCGGUGGUGAUGGCAUUAUGGGCGUGACCCAUUGAGCAUAGGGUCGGAUUUAUUUCUGAAUGAUGUAAUUUAUUUUUCUUAUCUUUCGAAGACAUCUGUAUAACCCCAUCAGAGGGUAAUAAAAAAAAAAAGGGCAAGCCCAGUAAUAGGUUGGAGUGUUAUGUGGAGGGCGAAGGCCUAUAUGGCCAAAAAAGUCAGGCUCGUUAUUAUCACCAACCAGGUGAUCAAAAGUACGCCCAGUACUCCAAAAUUAUUCGGCAACCUGCCACUCUUAUCACUAACUAGGUGAUCAAAAGUACGCCCAGUACUCCAAAAUUAUUCUGCAACCUGCCGCUAUUAUCACCAACCAGGUGAUCAAAAGUACGCUCAAUACUCCAAAAUUAUUCGGCAGCCUACCGCUAUUAUCACCAACCAGGUGAUCAAAAGUACGCCCAGUACUCCAAAAUUAUUUAGCAGCUUCCGCUAUUAUCACCCACUAGGUGAUCAAAAGUACGUCCCGUACUCCAAAAUUAUACAUGAGCAUCACUCAUGUCAUUCAUACAUAAACAUUCAUGAUCAUCACUCAUGACAAUCAUACAUAAACAUUCAUGACCAUCAUUCAUGUCAACAUUCAUGAGCAUCACUCAUGUUCACAUCCAUGAGCAUCACUCAAUCAAUAUAAACAUUCAUGAUCAUCACUCAUAUCAAUCAGUUUCGAAAGCUUCAUUUACAGAGCUUCAGCUUCAAGAGCUCAAACUUCAAAAACUUUAUUUACAAAGCUCCAGCUUCAAAAGCUUCACUUGCAAAGCUUCAUCUAUAGAGCUUCAGUGUAGGGUAUACAAAUACCGCAUCCGAACAACCACCACUUCGGCUCAUACAUGGAUUCAAUUUGAAGUCUCCAGCCAACAUACUCUAUUGACUGAAGACUUGGGGGACUACAUUAUGUACCAUAUAUUGGGCUUCAACUGGGCCUCAUGAAAAAUACUUGGGGGACUUAGCCCAUUAUUUAUGUACUGAGGAACAAUCCCUUUUUCUAUAAAAGGGACUCCCUCACUUUCAUUAGAGAGCACCCAUUAUUCAUGUGCUGAGGAGCGAGCCCUUAUUUUAUAAAAAGGACUCCCUCACCUUUAUUAGAGAGCAUCGUCGCCAGCUAACCAACCGUCUCGCCGCGAAUAUCACUCCUAACCCAUCACUUAUGUAUUGAGGAGCGAGCCCUUAUUCUAUAAAAGGGACUCCCUCACCAUCAUUAGAGAGCAUCGUCGUCUACUAAGCAACCGCCUCGCCGCGAGCAUCACUCCUAACCCAUCACUUAUGUAUUGAGGAGUGGGCCCUUAUUCUAUAAAAGGGACUCCCUCGCCUUCAUUAGAGAGCAUCGCCGCCUACUGAGCAACUGUCUCGCCGCGAGCAUCAACUCUAGCCCAUCAUUUAUGUAUUGAGAAGCGAGCCCUUAUUCUAUAAAAGGGACUCCCUUACCUUCAACGCCACAAGCCGAGCCAACCAAGGCAACAUAAGCCACAAGCCGAGCAGCCUUGCAACAUACGCUAUUUCUAGUUGAGCAUCAUUUCAGAUUGAGCACCGCCUCAUAUCGAGUAUCAGUCCUAGACGACAUCUAGUUACUUCAGCCCACACAUGGAUUGAAUUUCAAGUCUCCAGCUAAAAGACUAUCUUGACUGAAGACUUGGGGGACUACUGUUUGUACCAUACUUAGGGCCUCCGUAUUUAAAGCUCGUAUAAAUACUCGGGGGACUCAAAUGUAAUUAUGUAAUAAAUGAAGGGGAAAAUAUGUAAUAAGUGAGAAGCUCUUAUUCUAUAAAAAGACUCCUCACUCUCCUUAUUGAGGGAGACUAAUUCUUAGGCCCUGGGAGAGAACCCUCACUCUCACAUUACAGAGGCUCUCUCCCUCUUCAACAUCUCAGAGAAAUACAAUAUCAGUGUGGACGUAGCCCAAACAUUGGGUAAACCACGAUACAUCUUGUGUUAUUUACUUUCUUGCAGAUUCACGGUCGGAUUUACGUUGUUCCAAGACUCCUCCGGUUUUGUGCAUCAACAAAGACCAUCUCCAAAAGAGAUUUCAAAUUUUAAACAUAAAAUUUAAAUUUGAAGGCUUAUGUGGGACAUAUAAAAAGCAUUUAUUAAACUUCCUCUGCUGCAAUUUCAUGUCAUGCCAUAUAGGAAUUGGCAUUUCGGUUGGAAAACACGAGUGAUGUCUUUUUUUACUGUUAUUGGUAAUGUAGACUUUUUGACAUCUCUUUUGGACAUGCUCUAAGGUAAGCAUAACAAAAUAUAUGGCAAUCAAUAACUAUUAUACCUCACUUCGCUGUGCGAUACCUUUUUUCUUUGACAUGAUUAAAAGUUCUAAGAAAAUUUUAACAAGUCCGCACUUAUCUACCCCCAUGAUUUUGCUACCAAUUCUUUCAAACUAUUGAUUUUGUUUCCAAUUUGCAAUUGGCUUAGACGUGGGCUGAAAAAUCUGGCCCGAACAAAGUGGAGGUUCUACAGGAUAAAUGGGUUUGGUCAUGGUUUUCCACCGACUACAAGAAUACAUAGUUUCCAAAGGCCCAACUUCGAUUUUGUCAUUGGGUUUGCUCUUUCAGUUAAAGGCUAGAGAGACUUAGGUAUUGUUUAGUAUGCAGACAAGACGGGACGGGACGGGACAUAAUGGAAAGGGAGCAAAGAUGCCCUCGGAUGGAAACAAGGAGGAAGAAGAAGGAGACAGAGAGGUUAUAAUUUUGUGUUCCACAGAUGUGGAAUGAGUCGUUCCAGGGGGGUGAGGCGGAGCGAAAAUUCAUCCAAAAUUCGUCUAGUGGAACAACGCGUUCCACCCGUUUUAGGCGCACCAAACGUGAGACGGAACGCCUCGUUCCACUUCGUUUCGUCCCGUCCCACGUACCAAAUGGUGCCUUAAAGAACGAAUUUAACCAUUAACUGUUGCAUAAUUCACAAAAUAUUGUUAAAACCUAUAAUCGAAAGAGAAGAAAAGAGAGAGAAGUAAAGAGAAAAGAGGAAGAAGAUAAAACUAAAACAUUCAAUAUUUUGAUUCAUAUUUUCAAAUGAGAAGGAAGAGACCUCAGUAACUAAAUCCUAAAAUAUCUAAAUGGGUUUAUUAUACUUUUUAGUACAUUGAUAUAUAUUUUACACUAAGAGAAGAGAGGAGUUCGACAACCAUGCAAUAGGCAAUAUAAUUUAGUAUUGAAUUUGCUAUUUACGAGAUUCGAACUUAAGACCUCUUACUUACAAAUGAAGAGAAAUACAACUAAACCAUAGUACUAAAUUGCUAAACUUAUCAUACUUAAAUAGGCCAAACCUAAUAUGAUAUCAUAUAAAUAUGGUCUAAAAAUAUAAUUUGCCUAACAUUUUUUCGUGAUAAAUAACUUAUCUCCAAACCCAAAAGCUAGAACUUAGCUGACACGUCGUCAAACAACGACCACAGUUUCUAAAGUGGUGUUUACAGGUAUAUCCACAGUCUGUGUGCCACCACGUUCGCCCCCAGUCAAUAAUCCCCUACACGAACCUAUCCUAUCCAAACCCAUUAAUUUUCAAAUUUUUACCCAAAAUACCCUCCAAAAUCCAAAUCAUCCCCCUACUUAACCAAAUAUCUCAGUCUUCUCCUUGUAAAAUCACAUUGUGUUCCCGCCAUCCAUUUGGACUCUGUAACAUUGAAUUCAUCAUCCCAACUUCAAAGUUUAGAAGAUAAAUGUCAAUAAGGUUGCCUGAUUAGAGAAUCUAAAAUUGAUUCCCUAACUCACAAAUUUAAGAGAGAAACUUCGAUACAAAUUUCAAAUUAGGGCACGUCUCACUAAUCCAGCGAAACUAGUGGAUUAAGGUAAGGUUAACAUGCUAUUCUUUUUUUAAAAAGAGAUCAGUUGGUGAUUUCGGCGUGAUAGUCUACUUUUCUGGAGACCGGAAAGACUCACAAAGGUAUUUCAGUCUUUCUCAGCUGCCAUCAUGUGAUUCACCAGCCAUAAAACGAACCUAGAACAUGAGGUGUGAAAUACUGGUCUCAAGGUUCUAAAAGACGCUAGACGCUAGUCGGGCAGAGAGCUGGGGUCCUAGGCAGACUAGGCAGAUUUAAGUAAAUAUAUUAUAUUUUGUGUAAAUAAGUGUCUGUUUAUACUUAAAAUAUAUAUAAUUUCAUUAUAAACUACAAAAUAGAAUGACACACACACACACACAUAUAUAUAUAUAUAUAUGAAGAGGUAUUUGAACAUAAUGAAAACAUUGGGAACAUGCAUAUAAUGUGUAUUCAUUUAAGUAUUCAAUAAGUCUCUUACAAUUUAUUGGAAAAAAAAAUGCAAAAGGAAAGAUAUCUAUUUUCUGUCUAAGUAAGUCGCAACCUAUGUGGGUCUGGUCGGGCAAGGCGGGUGCCUAGGCGGUCUAGGCAAGUGCCUCAGCAGGUAUAUGAGCCUUUUCUUAAAUUUCAAACGUCUAAGCAUUAAUCGGGGUGGUGGCCAACCACCUGGGGUCUAGGCGGGGAUUUUUAGAACAGUGACUAGUCUACAAACGUUAUUGAAACUAAAUAUUAAUUACAUAAAAAAAUACACAUGUAUGCAAUUAUCACAAUUUUUUUAUAGGUUUUUAUCACAAAUAGUCUCUAAAAUUGACCCUCACCAUCAAGAUUGUCCUUGAAAUUGAAAAUAAAACAACGUAAUCCCUGAAAAAUAAGUGUCGCAAAUCAAUGUGGUGCUUCCGUUACAAUUCUGUUAAAAAUUCUAUUAAGUGUUGAAAGUGGCAUGGGCCCCAUAAUUCCUUUUUAUUUUCUCACAAGUGGUCCUUGAAAUUGACCCGGGAUAUCAAAAUGGUUCUUGAAAUUGACUCGCAACAUCAAAAUGGUCCCUAAAAUUGCAAAUUACUCAAUGUAGUCCCACAAGUAAGUGUCUCAAAUUAAUGUAAUCCUUUUGUUACAAUUAUAUCAAAAAUUCUGUUAUGUGCUUAUGUGACACAUAAAUGGGUCACACAAGUCUAAUUAAAUAAAAAAAAUUACAAAUAGGCUUUAAUAAUUUAAUAGUUAAUAAAAAAAAUUGUCAACCCAAAAAUCUAGUCUUGCAAUCACCUUCGAUCCUUGUCCACAUUUCUCUAUCUCCUUUGCUCUCUAUUCUCUAAAAAAAAAAAAAAAAAAAAAAAAAAUUCUCAUUACACAUAUUGUUACACACUUCGGCACUCUUCACCGAAUUGAACUUGGAUCGAGAUCACCUUUGGUGACGACUUGGCCGAUUGGCAAUGACUUUUGGGACAUUACCGUUAACAUUUAGGCGAUCAAUAUCCUCACAAUCUUAAUCUUGGAGAGAUUGUUCAACGCUUUCCUGGUGGUCUGGUGAUGCAAAGAACGACAAUGUCUACCUUGAGAUAAUGAGGUUAUAACUGAGGUGCGUCUAUUGUUGGUUGAAAACUAUUUCCACAACCCCUCUUAGGCCUUGGUUAAGCUUUGUGCCUUUGAGAAUUUAUGGAAGAGAUCUCUCAUUGGUGUAGGCUUUAUUAUAAGAAAAAAAAAAAAAUUCUAUUUUGCAAAAAAGUAUUUAGACAACUCUUUUAAUUAAUUAUUAAACCCACAUUAGCACAUAACAAAUUUUUUUACAGAAUUGUGGCGGAAGGAUCAUAUUGAUUUGCGAUACCUAUUUUCAAGGACUACAUUAAUCGAUUUUCAAUUUCAAACACCAUCUUGAUAGUGUGGUCAAUUUCAAGGACCAUGUUCAAGAUGGUGAGGUCAAUUUCAGGGACCAUUUUGAUGAUGUGGGUCAAUUUCAUGGACCAUUUGUGGUAAAAACCCGUAAAUCUUGUGGAGCCUAUUUAUCUGCCACAUCAGCACUUAACAGAAUUUUUAACAGAAUUGUGAUGGAAAGAUCACAUUGAUUUGAGACACCUAUUUUUAGACAAUACAUUGAUUGAUUUUUAAUUUCAGGAACUAUCUUGAUGGUGAGAGUCAAUUUCAAAAAUAAUUUGUGAUAAAAAUCUUUAUUUUUUUAUUUUUUAUUUUAUUUAAAUUUUUUAACUUAUUUAUUUUUUUAUAUCAAGAGGUGCAAUUAUCACCGGGAAACGCUGCCGUGUCGCCUCGUCAUCGGUUUCGUCACUCCAACAAGAAAGAUAUCAGAAACUGAAACGCACCUCAUUUUCUCAUCAGGCGCUCACCGCAGCAUCUUUGCCUUUUACUUGAGAGCUCUCUGCAAAGCCAAAUUGCAAGGCCUUCCCCUUCGGCCUUCCUCUCUCUCCUCGCCAUUUUUCAGUUCGCUUCAAGCUUCAAUUUUCUCUUCUGGGUAACCUUGUUUUCAGCUUAUGGACGGCGGAUUCGAGCCCCAGGUUUCCAUUGACGACGACCAUUCUCACCAGAAAGUCAACUCUCUCACCGAGAUGGUAUCUGGGAAUUUCGGGUAUCUCUCAUUAAGAUUCAAUUUAAUUUAAUUUUUUAUUUAUUUUUGAGCUGAAUUUUUGUGAUUAAUUGUUGUUGGUAUGAUGUAUUUUUGAAGGUGCGCGCAUUACAGACGGAGGUGUAAGAUCAGAGCACCCUGCUGUGAUCAGAUAUUCGAUUGCAGGCAUUGCCAUAACGAAGCUAAGGUCUGUUUUUUUUUUUUUUUUUUGGUUUUCGAGUUUUUAUUGAUUUCGUGAUCGUUGUGAAAUUCGGCCUCUUAUGAUUGUGGUAAUAUGUUUAUUUGGAGCAGAAUUCAUUGGAAGUUGAUCCUCUUGAUCGCCAUGACGUUCCUCGCCACGAUGUGAAAAGGGUCAGUUGCUUUUAGACCCCCUCAUUAAUCACAUCAAUGUCGAGUUUGAUACCAAUUUAUUCCCUCAUCUUGGUGUAAAUUUAUCUUUAUAUAGAAAAAAAAUAGUUAAGAAGAAAAGGAAUUUGGAAAUUGGAAUAGAAUUAGAAACUAUUGUUGGGCAUUUUUCUCCAUGGAGAUCUGAUUUUAUCUGGGUUUUGCUGGAUGUGAAUUUGCUUUCCAUUUAUGUUUGCUAAUCACGUGUAGCGUUAAAAGGGUUAACAUUAGAAGAUCUAAACUUGAUGGAUAGGGUGUAUAUUAUGCCUCUUUCCUGUUAUUCCCCUCGGCCCUCGUCAUACCAUUUUCUUUUGAAGUUGUUAAUCAUUGGGAAAUGUUACUGAUCCAGUUUUACUUUGGUUGCCUUGCCUUGUAUCUUUCAGAUCAUCUGCUCCUUGUGCAACAAAGAACAAGAUGUAAGCCUUGUUUUUAGAAAAUUCCGAUAAUGAUAAUUGUAUUUCGAAAUCUAAGGAUUGAGGUUAAUGGAUUCUCAAGCUCUGAUAUCUUUUUCAGGUUCAACAGCUCUGUAUCCAAUGUGGGGUUUGCAUGGGAAACUAUUUUUGCUCCAAAUGCAAGUUCUUUGACGAUGACGUAAGCCCUGAAUUCUAAUCUGCUGAAAAAAAGAGAGAUUCUUUAGUUCAUAUUCUCAUAAUUAUAAACCCUGUUUUGAAAACACUUGCAUCAUCGAAAAAUCCAAGUUUUUAUUUUUGCUAGGUUUCGAAGAAACAGUAUCAUUGUGAUGAAUGCGGUAUCUGCAGGUUGGACUUUUUUCUACACUUUUGUGUUUGAUUUUGUCGUUUGUUUUCUUGUUGCUAUGUUCUUAAAUUGUUAUGAAUACGUUUUACCUUUCAUUAUCUUCUGUCCAGAAAAGUUUCUUCAUCGAUAAGUCUUUGCACGUGUCUAAGUCUGUUUGAAUUGUUUUUACAGAACUGGAGGUGGGGAGAAUUUUUUCCACUGUAACAAAUGUGGUAAGAUGUUAACCUUUGGUUUUUAAUUUUUACAUUCUUUAAUCAUACUUCUAUAGAUAGUCUAAUUUAGAUAUCUCUAUCUAUAUUUUAGGAUGUUGUUACUCAAAUGCGUUGAAGGAUUCACACAAUUGUGUGGAAAAAGCAAUGCAUCAUAAUUGCCCUGUGUGCUUUGAGGUAAAGUUUGGAGGAUACCAUGUCCAAGUAUUAAGGGAAAUUUGGAAAGUUAACAUUCUUUCUAACAAACUAAUGACUUUUAGCCUCUUUUUCAAGAUUUGGAUAUAUAUCGAGGCUCCCUCGAGUGGUUAAAAUUCUAAUAGUUAAAAAAAUGGACUGAAAGUUUUGAACAAAUUUAAAAAUUACAAGUAUUAUAUACUGAGUUUUCUGCGUUGUAGUGCGCCAACUCACAUCAGUAUUUGUGCAGUUUCUUUUCGAUACAAGGGAAGACAUUACUGUCUUGCGAUGUGGACACACUAUACAUUUGGAAUGUGUAAAAGAGAUGCAGCGGCAUUUCCAGUAAUUCAUUUUUGUUUUCAAGAUAUUUAUAUAUGCUGAUAAUCUGAUAUAGGUUGUUACAAAUGGUAAAGAAACUGUAGCCAUAUUAAAUGUAUAGAACUGUGCAGGUAUUCGUGCCCAGUUUGCUCAAAAUCAUUCCGCGAUAUGUCCCGUGUGUGGGAAAAACUUGAUGAGGAGGUAAAUCUAGGAUUCGAUGAUUCAAUUUAAUGAGUGGUAUGACUACCUCUUAGUUACCUGUCUUUCUUGUUUACCGAUCUCUUUCAAAUCAAUUUUCAGGUUGCGGGGACUCUCAUGCCUCUAAAGUAUCUAAAUAAGAUGGUAUGUAUACCCAGAUGAUCACUUUCUGUGGCUUCUGCAACUAUUAGGUAAUUAAAUUUUGCACUUUUGGUUAGGUUUGGAUCCUCUGCAACGACUGUGGAGAAAUAUCUGAGGUCAAUUUUCACAUUGUGGGACACAAGUGCCUCAAGUGCAAAUCCUACAAUACAAGGAGAACACGAGGAGGGCCAGCAUCAUGCUCGUCAAGGAUUACUGCAACGAUGAGGUGACUAACCUCUAGAUCAAAACUUAUGAUGUAUUACUUCCCAAAUUAUAUAAAAAAAGUCAGCGUUUAGUUGUGACGGGGGGAAAAUUGGUAUUGCCAGUCCCUCUGUUACCAAUCCCUCUGUUCUUAGGCCAGUAAGUUUCUCCAUAGGUUUAGUCGCAGGAAAUUUGGUCAUAUUUGAGACAAUUUUCGUAUGCUAAUGGGUAGGGAAAAGCAUUUUGCAUUUGAAAUGGGAAUCCAUUGUAUGAGGCUUCAUCAAUGGAAAGUGCUACAACGUUUCAGUAACUAUCAUGAAAUAAAUAUGUAAUACAGUUACAAAUAGGUAUGCAACUUCUGAAGUACAUAUAGAUUUAUUGAAGAGAGAAACUGAAAGCAAACGUAGACCUUCUGAGAUAGACUUGAACACACAGUUUCUGUAGUACAUAUAAAAUUUGCCAAGAUGUUAGUUAUGAAUGUCUCACUUGCUGAACGAUGAGCCGUGGAGCUUGACCUCCCGGUCAUUUAGAGGUUGUACUGGUCUUGAAUUCAUCUCUGCAUACUGCAUUCAGACAAAUCAAGAGGAGUUAGUAGGUGUGGCUGGUUAUUUGGAAGAAUCACUUCACGAAGACAUGCACGCUACUCACCUUGUAAACGGCUUUUUGAAGCAACGCCACCUGUGAUCGUGAAACUGUAUGAACCUGCGAACACUUUGUAAUCAGCUUGGUUCUCGUUUUCGGGUACCAAAAUGUGAAUUCGCAAGAGUUGGGAAAAUUUUUCAGGGCAGAUGAAGUGGCUGUACCUGUUUGUUUAUGGUCCAAGUAACUCCUUCGGUGCAAGGAGGGGUUGUGAACGAUCCCAUGUAUCUGUAAAAUUUUGAGCUCAUCCUCUUCAUCUUCCUCUUUGCCGCAUCCUGCUUCCCCUUCUGAGCCUUUUUCAUCUUCCUCGGAUCGACCACUCCCAAGUGGACCUCCGUUGGCUUUUUAAUCAUAGACCGUAUCGCCUUUCUCACCUGAAAAGUAGGAACACCACCAUUGAUCUUCCUAUAUUCGCCUUUUCUAGCUUUUACUGAAACGAGUUUUUACAGCGUAAUGAUGGGAGUUUUAACCUGUGUGAUGAAAGGAUUGGGUUUGCCGAUUUUGUAGAGGAAUCCAACCACAGCUACACGAGUGUUGCUCGUGUCUUUGUGAACCAUGUGCAGUUCCACAUCAUAGGUUUUGCCAUCGAUGGUGUGCUCGGAGGGCGCGUGCCAAUGGCAUUGCCGGAGCAAGUAUUCUGUGCCGUUGAUCGUGACUCCUCCGGCAUCACCCUCCCACACAACCUGCUUUGUCAAAAUUACAACAAAAGCAGUAAAAACUCAUGCCGUGGACGGUGAAUAAAACAAGAAAACAGAAACGGGAUUUCACACUUUCUUACCGAAAUAGCAUGACCUUCGUUCUUCAUCAAGGCUUGGGUAGGCUUGUAAUGGAUUUUAAGAUGAUCCAAAGUUGAGUUAACUUUGUCUGCAAUGGCAUCCCUCAAAUCUAUAGGUGAUUGUAGUUUUCCAUCCUUACAUGUGCUCCAUUCUUCCUUAAGGUCUCCCCAAUAUUCUGGUCCUCUCUUGUCCCCUUCAGUGUAUACAAAUUCUAUGGGAUCUUCUGCACCAAAAAUCCAAACUCAAUAAGAUUGCGAUGUCCAAACGUGAGUCAGGCUAGUAGGCCAGAGCACUGUGCCCUCCCAAUGCCCGAAUUCCAAUCCCCAUUGAUUCCCAUAAAUUAAAGCAGUUUAGAAUAUUGUUUUCUAAAUGAAUGACGUUUAUGAUGAUGAAUAAGAUGACGACGAUGUCGAAAAAAAAGCAAGCAUAUAGACAUUACCCUCAUUGGAAAAUUUGGAAGCUCUAAUGGGUGAUGCAUCCCAGCACAGAAGAAACAGUGUGAAUGCAAUGAAGCCAAGGUGGAUUUGCUUUGAUCCAAACAUGUUUUGAGAGGCAAUUGUCACAAAUUGCUAUACCCCCAAGAUCUCUUCUCUCCUGGGUUUUAUUUCAAAAUGUGUUGCAAUUGCCAAUAGAUGGAAAACCAAAUCACAAAUUCUCCAUGAUGUGCCAGUCCCUUUUUGUGCUUUUUUAAUUUACUUUUUUUGGAUUUUUGGUGGGUAAAUUUACUUGUUUUGUACCGAAAUUUUGGAAGUUGUAGUAACUAAAUGUGGUUAAUUUACACCCAAUAUAAAUAUAUAUGACUGUUGUAAAACCUCUGGCCAGUAUGUCCCUCUCAUUCUUUUAACUCCUUGAUUUAUGUAAUUAAUCUCUCUGUCUCUAACAAAAUAUUUCUGUCCGCAAAUCAUUCUUGUUAUAAUUAUCUCUAGAUUAAGGGGAAUCUAAGUUUCGUAGACUGAGAAUAAAAAAUAUAGCUACAAAAUUAACUCAGGAAGCAAAAAUACCAUCAACGGUUGUUUUGGUGUGGAGGUACACAUAUUCAUGUCCUUUUUUUGGAUACAACUUAUUCAUGCUUUCGAUUUUUAUGGAUAUGUUUUUAGUAAUGUAUGAGUUUGAGUUCUACUCUUAAUAUGAGUGAGAUCAAACUAUAUAUAUUUGGUGUAUGUGUUUUGGUAAGAGGUGGUUAAAACCUCUUAGGAAACUGGUUACAUCCGACUCCAUGACAGGACGAGUGGUUACCAACAGACCUGAUAUUCGUGUCGUGUUUUUUGUGUUUGUGUUGUUUUAGUGUCAUACUUGAUAUUUUAACGGGUUGUGUCGUGUAAUACCUCUUAAAAUAAACGGAUAAAUGACCCAAGCCAAACUUGAUCCGUUAAUAAGUAAUAUGGCCCGAUCCAAAUCUUGUUAAAGAAAACAUAUUUUAAACCAAUAAAUAAUCAAAUUGUUGUAAACAUUCCUAGUUUAAGUAUGAUUGUGUAAAUCCUAGAUAAGAUUUGAUUCUAGUUAUCCUUUCCUAUUACAACUUGUAUUACUUGGAGGAGAAGGAAUAUCUUCUCUCCCUUUACUACUAUAAAUAAAGGCACAAUGUAGGAGGGAUAACAACACACACACAUUCCCCUACAAUUCUACAAACACACAUCUCUCUCCUCUCUCUCUCUGCCGCCGGCCCUAGUCCCUCUGUCAGAUAAAAUAGACCACAACACGUUAUCAACACGCUCUUCACGCUGUGCUUAGAAGCAUUUAAAGAGAAUUUAUUCGUCUAAAAUCAGGGGAGUAUUACGUUUCAAUUAUUUUUAAUUGAUUAAAUCUUGAUUUUAUUGAAUUCGUAUAUUGUUAUUGAUUCAAUUUAUUUUUCUUCUUAUGUUGAACGUGAUACAAGCUUGAAGAUGAAAGCCGAAAUUGAAGAAAUAAUUUUUCUGCAUCAAACCAGUUCAUCUAUAUCAUCACGCAAUCAGGUUCUUUCUAAACAACGGCUUUUAACUCGAUAUUUUGCAAGCCCUGAUAGCAUGAACAUUCACCAUGAUGCAUGACCCAACUUUACGUUUUACGUAUUUUAGAUUCUACAUAAAUUGUGUAUGCUUCAUAAUCAAAAUUGCUACAAUUAUGUGAAUUUGAUAUUUGUCAUGAAUUGAAUCCUACAUAUGUACAUGCAUUGAAACUAUUAUUUGCAUAUGCAUCAAAGUAAAUAUGUGAUUCAUUGAAUUAUAUAUGCAUCUAAUACAAAAAAAAAAAAAAAAAAAAAAAAUUCUGGGCUCGCAUGGAACGGCCCGAAAAAAAAAAAAAAAAAAAAUAAUUUAGGGCUGCACACAGCAGCCCAUUCCCCUCUUCUCACCCCGUGGGCCUGUAAUCCCACCCGAGGGUUCUUGGCCUAUAUUUUUAGGCCCCGAGAUUUUAUUAUUUAAUUUUUUUUAAAUAAUAUGGGUUUUCACCCACAUUUUAAUUUGGCCCCGAAGACCAAAAAUAAAUUAAUUCACUUAUCAUUAUACAAUAUUUCUGCAUAUAUUCUUUGCAUAUUUGUUUGCAUAUAUAUUUGUGUUUGCCUGCAGGAAUAUAUGAACCUCAAGUUCAUAAUUACUUUGAAAUCCGAAGUUUCUUAUACACAUGCCUUGUUUGAAAACCCGAAGUUUUCACUUAAAUAUAUCACCCAUGAAAACCCGAAGUUUUUCAUGCAAAAUUAAACCAAUACAUGUCUAUUAGAACCUGUAUGUUCUACUCCUAUGUGAAUGGAUUGAUUUUUCUCCAUUACACUAACCACAUCUUGUCCAUCUAUUGUGAUAGGAACAUGUCGAACUUGAACAAACUCGACUUCACCGCUUUGGAGGUUUCUGGAAGGAACUACCUCAAGUAGGUUCAAGAUGUGAAGCUCCACCUCACUGCAAAGAACUUGCGUCCUGCUAUUGAAGAAGCAACAGAUAAACCUGUUGGCGAGGCCUGAAAAAGCCACUGCUAUGAUCUUCAUCCAAAGACAUAUCCAUGACGCUCUACAAACUGAGUACCUUGCUGAGGAGGAUCCACGUGCAUUAUGGGUCGCUUUGGCUGAUCGUUUCGAUCACCAAAAUGACAUAUUCUUGCCUGAAGCAAGACACGACUGGCAGCACUUGCGCUUCCAAGACUUUAAGUCUGUGAAUGAAUAUAAUUCUGAAGUUUGUCGAAUCCGAUCACUUCUCAAGUUUUGCAAUGAAACUUUGACUGAAGAGGAUCUCCUGGAGAAGACCUACUCGACCUUCUCUGCCUCUAAUAUUGUCCUGCAGCAACAAUAUAGAGCUCAGAAGUUCACUAAGUUCUCGGAUUUGAUCUCUGUUUUACUUCUUGCUGAAAAGCAGAACCAGCUGUUGAUGAAGAAUCAUCAAGCUCGACCUACUAGGGCUACUGCUGUGCCUGAAGCACAUUAUAGCACUCAUUAGCACCCAAAACGCCAAAAGAGGCGUGGUAAGGGCGGCCAGAAGCCAUCCCACCAAGGUCAACAGAGCCAAGGCCCAUCCAAGGGAGGAAACAAAGCCCAGAAGCGCCCAAACCUCGCUCCCAAGGCCCCGAACUUCAAGAAUAAGGGCAAAGCACCUGCCACAAUGAAUGACGAUAUGUGCUAUCGUUGUGGUUCCAAGGACCAUUGGUCCCGUAUUUGCCGUGCUCCCAAAAAGGUUGUGGAUGCAUAUCAUUCUCGUCGUACGAAGUUUGAAUCAAACUUCCUGCAAGUGGACGAACCGGAGACUACAAAGAUGGAGGUUUCUGAUUUUCAGGAGGAUACCACUCCUAUGGAAGAUUAGAAUCUUAGACAUAGACUUAUUUUUCAGUUAAAAUAAGACAAUUGGGGCCGAAUUCCACCUUGUGGCCGAACCCCCCCUUGUUUUUGGUUGAUUUUGAACAAUUUUCCUUUAUGUUUUGGAUUAUUAGUUGGCGAUUUAUUUUGGAUAUUAAGUUUUUUCCUUGAAUAAAUGAAAUUAUUUUGAAUUGAUACUUGUUUUUAUAAACUUUUAUGCAUGUGACCAAUUCAAAUUAAUUUUUCAUUCUAGGUAUGACUAGUGGGAAAGUUAGUUGUCUGGCAGAUCGUGCAACCACGCAUACUGUUUUGCGUGAACGCAUCUAUUUCACUAACUUCGUACCUAAAAAUGCACCUCUGACAACCCUCUCAGGCCCAUCCAACCUGAUCGAAGGAUACGGUAAGGCACGUAUAAUGUUGUCCAAUGGUACAAUCUUGACCAUUGCUGAGGCACUCUAUUCUCCACGUUCCGGAAGAACGUUACUAAGUUUCAAGGACAUUAGAGAUAACAAUUACCACGCUGAAACCCACGUAGAAAACGGAGUUGAAUUUCUGUGCGUAACUUCCUACGAAUAUGGUCAGAAGCGUAUUCUAGAGAAGAUGGAGCGUAACCCGAGUGGUCUGUAUACUACGACCAUACGCCCCAUAGAAUGCCACUAUGUGGCCGGCCCUACCACAGGGACCGCGCACGAAAUUACACUUUGGCAUGAUCGUUUGGGACAUCCUGGACGAAUAGCGAUGCGCCGUAUCCUCAAAACUUCACACGGGCAUCCACUAACCCGAAGCUUAGGUUCGAUCCAUGAAAUUGCAUGCCAAACAUGUUCUAUGGGAAAGCUUAUUACUAAGCCUUCUUAUGAUAAGAUUCGUUCGAAUCCUCCCAUUUUUCUACAACGGAUUCAGGGGGACAUUUGUGGACCGAUUCAACCUCCCUGCGGACCAUUUAGAUAUUUUAUGGUUUUGGUUGACGCUUCUACACUUUGUCACACGUGUGCUUGUUGUCCACAAGGAACGCUACAUUCUCCAAACUGUUGGCUCAGGUUAUCAAGCUCAGAGCUCACCACCCUGAUUAUCCGAUCAAAUCUAUUCGAUUGGAUAAUGCUGGAGAAUUCACAUUUAAAACUUUUGAUGACUAUUGCAUGUCGGUUGGGGUUGAAGUUGAACAUCCUGUACCCCAUGUUCACACCCAGAACGGCCUGGCAGAGGCUUUCAUUAAGCGUUUACAAAUGAUUGCUCGAUCGUUGGUCAUACGUACCAAGCUCCCGAUCGCUGCUUGGGGCCAUGCAAUAUUGCACGCAGCAAAGUUGGUCCGCCUGAGGCCUGUUGCGACACAACCAUUUAGUGCCCUUCAGUUGGUCACCGGAUGCGAACCCGACAUAUUGCAUCGGCGCGUUUUUGGUUGUGCGGUCUAUGUGCCGAUCUCGCCGCCCUUACGUACAAAAAUGGGGCCUCAGCGAAGGAUGGGAAUCUAUGUCGGAUAUGAUUCUCCUUCGAUUAUUCGUUACUUAGAACCUUUGACAGGCGAUCUGUUUACCGCUCGUUUCGCGGAUUGUCACUUCUAUGAGACAGUCUUCCCGUCGUUAGGGGGAGAUAAGAACGUCAACGUUCCUAAUGAACGACGCGAAUUAUCGUGGAUGACUCCCACUUUGUCUCAUUUAGAUCCCCGCACCGCUCAGUCUGAAGCUGAAGUGCAGCGCAUAUUAGAUCUCCAGAGCAUAGCUCAGAGCAUGCCAGAUGCUUUCACUGAUCUAGCGCGCGUGACAAGAUCACAUAUUCCAGCUGCGAAUAUGCCUGCAAAGAUGGAUGUACCAAAUGUACGACGGACUACCCUCCUGGAAGCCCGGGACGCCAAUUCUGGUGAUCCACGUACAUUAGCGGCUAGCCAAUCAUCUGCCCCUACACAAAAGCGUGGCAGACCCCUUGGUUCAAAGGAUUCACACCCCCGGAAGAGGGAAAACCACGGCACAAGGUCCUGAAGAGCCUACCGUGAAUCCGACUAUCGCUUACUCAUUUUACCCAACUCAUGAGGAAAUUCUAGAUUAUGGAAGCGUCCUUGAAGAGACGAAUCCUCCUCCCGAGAAUCGUGAGAUUUCGGUCUAUUAUGCUAGCUUAGAUGAUGUGUGGCGUAGAAAUGAGAUGAUUGUCGACGAUGCAUUAGCAUUUGCAGUAGCUACUGAGAUCAUGUUGAGCGAUGACAUUGAACCGCGUUCCGUUGAUGAAUGUCGACGUAGAGCUGAUUGGUCAAACUGGAAACAAGCAAUCCAAGUCGAACUUGAUUCACUUGCGAAACGUAAGGUGUUUGGACCUGUAGUUCCUACUCCUCCACAUGUGAAGCCCGUUGGCUACAAGUGGGGUUUUUCGUUCGGAAGCGUAAUGAGAAGAACGAAAUUGUGCGUUACAAAGCUCGUCUUGUAGCACAAGGUUUCUCACAACGCCCCUGAAUUGACUAUGACGAAACUUACUCACCCGUUAUGGAUGUGAUUACUUUUCGAUACCUUUUCAGUUUGGUAGUUUCCGAAAAACUGGAUAUGCAGCUGAUGGACGUAGUAACCGCGUAUCUCUAUGGGGAUCUUGAUACGGAAAUUUAUAUGAAAGUUCCCGAAGGACUUACAUUGACUGGUUCAAAUAUUUCCAAACCCCGGAACACGCUCUCAAUUCGGCUGAGGCGUUCACUAUACGGUUUGAAACAAUCCGGAAGAAUGUGGUAUAACCGUUUAAGUGAGUAUUUGACUAGUCAGGGAUAUGUGAAUAACGAACUAUGCCCUUGUGUGUUCAUUAAGAAGUCACAUUCCGGAUUUGCGAUUGUUGCAGUAUAUGUCGAUGACAUGAAUCUCAUCGGAACUCCUGAAGAGCUCGCGAGAACUGCUUCGCACCUGAAGUCGGAAUUUGAGAUGAAAGAUCUAGGUAAGACUCGAUACUGUCUCGGUCUCGAGAUAGAGCAUUGUUCGGAUGGAAUCCUAGUACAUCAAUCGAACUACACCCAGAAGGUGUUGCGCCGUUUUAAUGAGGAUAAAGCGAAGUCUUUGAGUACUCCUAUGGUUGUUCGUACGCUAGAUGCAAAGCGAGAUCCCUUCCGUCCGAAGGAGGAUGAUGAAGAGAUUUUGGAGCCUGAAGUUCCUUAUCUAAGUGCGAUAGGCGCUUUAUUGUACUUAGCUCAAUGCACUAGACCCGACAUCUCCUUCGCUGUUAAUCUUUUGGCAAGAUACAGCAAUGCACCAACACGCAGACAUUGGACUGGCGUGAAAGACAUCUUCCGUUACCUUAGGGGUACUAUGGAUUUGGGCUUAUUCUAUCCCUACGAAUCCUCGAGUGAUGCCGCACCCUAUGCUCAUCGGGUUGAUUCUCGCCUUGUUGGUUAUGCCGAUGCUGGAUACUUAUCUGAUCCGCACAAGGCGCGUUCUCAAACGGGUUAUGUCUUUACCGUUGGAGGCACCGCAAUAUCUUGGAGGUCAACUAAACAGACCUUAGUUGCCACUUCGUCUAACCAUGCUGAAAUUCUCACCUUACAUGAAGCAACUCGGGAAUGCUUUUGGUUGAGAGCAGUAGUGGGCCAUAUUCGAAGCUCCUGUGAUCUUCAUCCCGCCGUUAAUGCCCCGACGACGAUUUUUUAAGACAACGCAGCUUGCAUCGAACAGCUCAAGAAGGGUUACAUCAAAGGAGACAACACCAAGCAUAUUGCGCCGAAGUUCUUCUUUACACAUCAACAACAAGAGCAUCAGAAGAUUGAAGUCAUGCAAAUCCGAUCACAAGACAAUCUGGCCGACCUCUUCACCAAAUCACUACCGAAGGCGACGUUUCAGAAGCUUGUUCAUGGAAUUGGUAUGCGUAAACUUUCUGAGUUGUAACUUUGCUGUUUCUCUGUGGAAUUAUGUCAAACUCAGGGGGAGUAUCUUCUAGAUACUUGCUUGAUCUUAAUGUACUCUUUUUCCCUACGAUUAGGAGCAUUUUUCCCACUGGGUUUUUGCUACCUAACUAGGUUUUAACGAGGCACCCACCUUGGGCUGGUCAUAUCCCUGAUGACGUCCUGUAGACGUUUCUUUUGACUUUGCAUUUCUCACGCAUUUUUCCUUAGACUAUGGAUUUUGUCCCUACUUGGGUUUUUGCCAUAGCCUUAGGGUUUUUUAGUGAGACUUACUACUUAUGCAAGUUCCUACCUUAUUGAGAAUAAGCGUUGUUCCUUGGAAUCAAUGCCGACGAGUCGACUUCCUCAACUUCUGCAUGAUGCUGAAUCUACCUUGAGUAUUUACCCACUCAAGGGGGAGUGUUGUAAACAUUCCUAGUUUAAGUAUGAUUGUGUAAAUCCUAGAUAAGAUUUGAUUCUAGUUAUCCUUUCCUAUUGCAACUUGUAUUACUUGGAGGAGAAGGAAUAUCUUCUCUCCCUUUACUACUAUAAAUAAAGGCACAAUGUAGGAGGGAUAACAACACACACAUUCCCCUACAAUUCUACAAACACACAUCUCUCUCCUCUCUCUCUCUGCCGCCGGCCCUAGUCCAUCUGUCAGAUAAAAUAGACCACAACAAGAUUUUAGUAAUUCACAAAAUAUGUUAGAUUACUUUGAACAUACUUUGGAUGGUUUAGUUUUGUAUUACUUCCAGUCAUGGAAAAUUCAAAAUCCAGAACAGCAUCAGGCAGCUAAAAUACAUUUUAAUAUUGAUGGUUUUGUUACUUUGAUUAAACAAGAGUUUUUAGAUCAUAAUAGGUUAGAUGGCAGAAGCGAACAAGAACAAAUAAGAGCAAUUAGAAAUUUAGAACAAUUACAAAUUUGCGAUUUACAGUAUAUAGCUGAGUAUACCACAGAUUUCUUUAAAUAUUUAGGAAGAACAAGUAGAAUUAGUGAUAUUAAUUUAUUAGAUACUUAUAUGACAAAAAUAAAAAGACCAAUAGGUGAAAAGAUUUGGAAUGAAUGGCAAAAACAUCCGAAGAAAAAUGAUAUUGCUAUAGGAUCUAGAAUUCAACAUGUAUAUGAUAUACUCAGACAAGAGUGUAGUCAAAUAAAAGCUAAGAGACAAAUUAGGAAACAAUUUUACAUGUGUUGUAAAAAUAUAGAUUUACCACAAUAUGCCAUAAGAAAAAGCAUAAGAAAAUAUACAAAAAGAAAUAUAAGUCGUAUAAACCCUACAAACAGCAUAAGAAUUUCAGCAUAACACCUUCAAAAACAUAUAGAAAAAGAAAAUAUAUUCCAAAACAAUUUAGAAAAAGAAGUGGCAUACCUUGAAUUAGAAAAUAUAAAGCACCAAAAGAUAAGAGUAAUUGUAAAUGUUAUUCAUGUGCAGAAGGUGGACAUAUUAGACCUAAAUGUCCAAAAUUAGGUAAACAGUCGAAAGUAAAAGUACAUUUGAUGGAGUUGUUUAAAUUAGAAGAAGAUGAGGAUAUUCAGUCAAUAUACAGUUUAGAUAAUUUAAGUGAUAAUGAGAGCAUUUAUAGUAUAGAGAGUAUUAACAUGAUAGAUUCAGACUCAGAAGAUUCAAGUAACACAAAUAGUGAUUUAGAAGAGUAUAUGUGUGCCUUCAUAGAAGAACAGCAUGAAGAAGGAUAUAAAUACAUCAAUGCCAACGAGUCGACUUCCUCAACUUCUGCAUGAUGCUGAAUCUACCUUGAGUAUUUACCCACUCAAGGGGGAGUGUUGUAAACAUUCCUAGUUUAAGUAUGAUUGUGUAAAUCCUAGAUAAGAUUUGAUUCUAGUUAUCCUUUCCUAUUACAACUUGUAUUACUUGGAGGAGAAGGAAUAUCUUCUCUCCCUUUACUACUAUAAAUAAAGGCACAAUGUAGGAGGGAUAACAACACACACACAUUCCCCUACAAUUCUACAAACACACAUCUCUCUCCUUUCUCUCUCUGCCGCCGGCCCUAGUCCCUCUGUCAGAUAAAAUAGACCACAACACAAAUGACAAACAUAAUCCUAAAUUAUUAUAUACAUACCACAUUGUUACAUAAAUAGUUCAAAACAUAAAAACACAUUUGUCUUUAAUUAAUAUAGAAGUGUGGAAAAUAUAAAAAAGAUAUAUCACUCAUAAGGACAAGCUUUACAACUUUCGUAAAGAGCUCAACUUCGAAAUUUGCUAUUAUAAUUACAUAAACUAUAGGUCGAAAUUUAACAAUUGAUUGUCGUUUUCAUUUACGCUCCAUUCUUCUCACCAUUUUUUUCUCCAGAUUUUAUUUUUUGAAAACAUGAUCUUUCGAAGGAUGAAUGAAGAUGAAUGGUUUGCUUUGUUGAUAUUAUGUUCAAAGUUUUAACGUUAGUGAAAAUAUUGCUCCGAGUUUAUAAAGCCUCUAAAACUAUAUAACAUUGACUCGUAUUUUAGUUAACCAUAAAUAUCGGAACGUGAUAUCACGAUUUGCACCAUUCAUUUUUCUAUAUCCGCUAAAAGAUCAUGUUUUCAAAAAAGAAAAUAUAAAAAAAUGAUAUUCGGUGAGAAUAAUAAAGAAUAAACAACAAUCGACGGUCAAAUAUAAAUAUAAGGUUUAUGGAUUAUGGUGUCGGACUUCGGAGUUGAACCCUUCAUGAAAGUUGGAAAGCUUGUCAUUACGAGGGAUUGUUUAUUUUUAUUUUUUACAUUUUUCACUACAAUAAUUAUUAUGAAUUUUAUUAAUUUGCACUCAAAUAAAAAACAUUAUUCAUGAGGCUUUUUGGAGGAUUUUAAAAAUCUAAACUGCAAUGUAACCAUCGCCUAUGCGUGGAUGAUCCAAACACGAGCGUUUAUAUAUUCCUUGACAUUUUUCACACUUGUACAUAAAUUAUUAUUUAUUUUUAUUUAUUUGGACAUAUCCUAAAAAUACUAUUCACAAGGGUUUGUAGGGUUUUAAAAAUUCAAACAAUGGUAUACCCAUCUCAAAGCGCAGAGGAUGCGAUCAUGAGCAUUUGCAUAUUUUUUCAUAUUUUUUCGUACUUGUAAAUUAAUUAAUAUAGUUUUUAAUGUGUUUGGUAUUUUUAAAUUACUUUGAUAUUUUUAUUUUCCAAAGUGUUUUAUAAUGUUUUAAUCUAACUUUUAAGAGGAUAAAACAUUUAGGUUAAAUUAGAUUGUGCACCCUUAAGUUUGGGUGCAACUACAAUGUCAUACUUCAUCUUUAAAAUUUUACAAUGUCAUACACAAACUUAUGAUUUGAUUGCAAUUUUUUACAUUUGUUAGUCAACCCGUUAGUUUGACCGUUAAAUGAUGACUUAUACUAAUGUGAAACAUGUGACACGUAAAAUAAAAUCAAAUUAGUUUAAAAAAGGGCCCACCUUUUUAAUCCUAGCACUAAACCCAGUCGGACGCCUCCCACGCCGUAAGCCAGCACACCCAUCACCACCUCUCUCUCAUGGUCUCACCUUAUUGUGCAAAAAUUCCGUCACCAUGCUUCAGGCUAAGACUAUAUAACUAGUCAAUGAUGACCUUCUAUGAAAACACCGAUGCCGUACAUUCUCUUUGAUAUUAGAACCGUUGAGCAAAGCGGGACGCACAACGACAUUAUUAUGGCAAUGUGGCUGUUGGUUUUGGUGGUGUUGAGGGUGGUGCCGUGGUGGUGGUUGUGUGGACUUGAAGUUGUUGAGCGCUAAACAACAUCCUCAGUUAUAGGGCCCCACUCCCACGAAAGAAAGGGAGCACUUCGUGUGUGAGUGGCCUCCGUGGUUAAAGAGAUUUUUCAAUGUGACCGGCAUAUGGAGUAGUGCAUCAUGUGUCAUUAUGCAAAUGGUGAGAUAUGUGUGCUAAAAAGUUAAUAACUUAAAAAAUAAAACUUCCCACCACUCUUAUUAAAACACAAUGGUGUACCACUUUUAUUCUCGUCACAACUAAAAACUUCUCCGGUGGUUGAGCAGAAAAUUUUAAUUACGAAGGAUACACAAGUGACACAUUACGUGUUUUAAUAGGAGUUGUGAGAAAUUUUAAUUUUUAAGUUAUUAACUUUUUAGCAUACAUAUAUCAUAAUUUGUAUAAUGACAUGUGAUGAAACCACCCGUAUAUCGGUCACACUGAAAAAUUUCUCGUUAGUUGAGAGAUCCACCUAGAAAAGCUUCAGUUCUAAAAUAUAAGACUCACUGCCAUUUCCAAUUGUUGGAUCUAGAGAUUAUGUACCUGUCAAGACCCUGAGUGCACCAAUGUAGGACUCGCCGCCAUCUCCAAUUGCUUUGGCAAAUGCAGAUCCUCGCGACCCAGCUGCAGACCCACUGCAUCCGCCUAGCCGUUCCUGCUCCCAUAAUUGAAAUUCAAACUGAAAUUAUCGUGAUUGCCAUGCCGGAACUCAUUGGAAGUGGAACAAUUGUUAGAAUUCAAAUUGAGAUUCUUGUCGAAGCCAUUGUUGAUCUUCGAAACCAUGCUGAGCUUCUAAUCUUGGUGAUGUUUCAGCUGGGCAAGGUUGUGGAGGGGAUUAUUGUUGGGACCUUGAAACCCGACUAGAUUCCUCAAAUCCUCCAAGUUUCCCGGGAAUUUGUUUCUGGCGAACUGGAGAAGGGAUUCGGUGGAGACGAAGGGGGAAGGAUUUUACUUUUCAUUAAUUUUAAUUUAAUUAAUCUUUAAUAUUUUUAAUAUCUAAUUGAUUUCUCAAUCCAGUUGGUGAGGAAGUGGAUUUCAAGUUUGUCAUGUCAUUAUUUACAAAGAAAUUGACUGAGAUUAGACAUUGCAAUUAAUUCGUAAGAUCAGGUAUAACAUUGCAUUAUGUAAAAUAUGAGGUAUGAGAUUGUAGUGCAACUCAUUAGCUGUAGGGGAGAGAGUAAAAAACUUUGUUAGGUCGUUAACUCUAAAAUUGAAUGUUUGUAUUUUUGCUUAUACUAAUACUAAACUAGAAUUUAUUCCAGUAAUGAUAAUAAGAAUAUGUGUGUUGUAGACUCUAAAAUUAAUAGUCUGUCUCUUUUUAUUUGAAUUUUGAAUAGGUCAAGUAAAAUUUAUCCUAAUAAUGAUAAAUAAGCAACUCUCAUAAUAAAAAUAAAUAAAUAAAACUUAAAUGAUUUUUAACUUAUAUAGAAUAAUAACAUAAUAGUACAUACUAGCAAUGGUGCCCGCGUGAUGUUGCGGGUGUUAAAACUGUAUAAAACAUGUGAAAAGUUCGAAAUAUAUACGAUAUGCAAUACUAUUUAGAUAUAUGUUGAAAUCUGUUUACAAUCAUAUGGAUUGGCGGUUCCAUUGUACUAAUAUUCACAUCUUUUACAAAUUUGAAGUCCUAAGUGUCCUAAACUAAAGAAAAGAUAAAAGUGGUUAUAUUGCCAUUGUUCUAAUAUUCACAUCUUUUACAAAUUUGAAGUCCUAAGAGUCUUUAACUGAAAGAAAAGAUAAAAGUUUCUUUCUCACCGAAAUCUAUCAAUUUGAAUAAAAUCUACGAAAGAAGUAUAUAGAUUGUAGCAUACCUUGUAAUUUCUGCAAGUUGGACACCUGCUAUAUCAAUAGUGACAUAAUUUCUUCCUAAGCCAUCGGAAAAAUCAAAAUUGAACAGAACUUUCUCCCCACUCCUCUGACCAUAUAAAAGAAGUAAUGUUUCUCUUUUGGAACCUCUAAUCACAUGACACAAAACCACACAAAACAUAAAUUAAAAAAAAAAAACUGAACACAUUAACUCUUGACAAAAACUUAUUACCCAAGGAUGGAAAGUCAUUGAAAACACAAAUCGCCAAUGAAGAAAUGAGGAAACAAAUCAGCAACCUAACUUAUAUAGCAUUAGGAUGAACCAUGCUAAUUUGUUCAUAACUGAUCUGUCUCCCUACAUUUUUCAAACCUGCAACCACAUAGAAUAUUAUAACAUAAUGAUCAAACAAAACAGACUUAACUUAAGCACACAUUAACUGUCGAGCAUGGAAAGGCUUUGGUUUCUUGCAAAAUAAUGAAAAAUAAAAUAAGAAAUAUAAACAGAGGUUAAUGAUCCAGCUCAGCAGAUCAGUUUAGAGGUUGUUAGUGUUUGUUAGUAUGUUCAGUAUGUACCAAGAGAGCUAAGCAAGGUGAUUAAUUGUUGUAUAAAUUGCUAGCUCUCUCUGUUGAAUAGUUAAUUCAUUCAUACAAUUAUAGAGCAACUAUUAUAUCACUCUCUCUAAAAUUCCUUUUCUCUUUUGUUUACUUUGCAUUUCUCAAAUAUUUCAACAUAGUUUGGGAAGUUCAAGUAUACCGGUUGAUAUUCCACAGUCGAGAAGGGAGGCCUAGUUUGGGAAGUAUAGAUUCUCACCUUCUCUGGGUCUAGUACUCUGCAUCGAUUAUCAUGAGAGAGAGGGAGAAAGCGGGUAUUCGUUGAGAGCAUUUGAGUACUGUAUAUUGGUACAAAACCAAUUACAUACUUGUAAUUAAAAAACAUCUUACAAUCGUGCAAUCUAGAACUUGAACAAAUACAAAAUAAAAUGAAAAUAAUUACAGAACAUAUGAAUACCAUAGUUUCUUAAAUGGCAUAGUCUGCCUGCAUAUAAACAUUUCCAUGUAAAUUCAUACCUCACUAAAAAGAGAACAGAGAAUAAACCAUACUUCAUACAAUAUCAUGAAUUAACUUAGGAAAAAUUCUUUAACCCAUAUUUUAAAAUUAAAGUCACAAUUUGAACAACGAAAAGAGAACCCAAGAGCUAAACCCUAACAAAAAAUGUCAGAGAACUCAUCAGGAAACCCAAGCUUUCUAGGUUUAAAAUUUCUUCAAUAAAACCCAAGAUUUCCUUUAAUGGAAUUCCAAAAAGCAUUCUCUAUCAGCAUCAGGCAUAACCCCACUUACAUGUGUCCCUUGUGAAAACUUCCCAUUUGAAGUUGUUUCCAAUUGAUUGUCCACCAUAAAAUGUUUUAAAUCAUUGUAGGCAUGCUACAAACAAAAUGGGAUUGAACUUGGACUUUCCAAAAAAUUCACCAAAUCAAACCACAAAAAAUUAAUCGCAACAAACAAAGUGCACAAUUUGUUGAAAGCAAUAGAUCCAACAUUCAUACAAAGGAAAUUCGAUCAUGAAUUGAAUAAAAGAGUGAGAGAGAGAGAGAGGAACCUCAAGCACUUGGAACCCUAUACAUAAAAGAGGCAAAAAACGAUGACCACUGCUUCCCAAAAUUAAAAAAGAACCAAAUACCCACACUAAAAAUCCAAACACAGAAACAAAACCCCAAAAAUUAAUUAUUAUUAUUAUUAAAUAGAUCUGCAAACAAAAUAAGACCCAAAAAAAUUUAAACUUUUGUUCAAGAAAACAUUUAAGAGGAAAAACAUAAAUUAUAUACCUUAAUCAGAAAGGGCUUGCAAGCUUCUAUACAAAACCCUAAAAUUCGAAUAGCAACGUUUCCUGAAAUAAAAAAUGAAAUCAGAUCAAACAACCACAUCACCAAAAAAAAAAAAAAAAAAAAAAAGCAAAAUACUCAAUGCAAAAGGCCAAGGCUUGUGUGGUUAUUUUUCUGUGUUCAAACCUUCAUCAGAACACAUAACACAUGCCAAUAAAAUAUUUCGCCAAAUCUGAAAGCCAUAACACAAACUAAUUUAAAAUUCUUGCAACUCAAAAUUUGAAUAAAAAAAAUCAUCAAAUUAAAACUCCCAAACCCAAUUCAAUCCUUGAUCAGAAUACAUAACAAAGGCUAAUAAAAUAUCUCACCAAAAUAAACAAUCAAUUCUUAACAUCUAAAAUUGAAGAGAAUAAAACCCAUAGUUUUGGGAAAAAAACCCUCCCACAUGCAAGUUUUGAAUAGCUGAACGAGAACUUCCUAGUGAGUCAUUCAUCUUGGAAUUGCUCUCACUGAUUCUCGCUUAACUUCGGAGUUCCUACGGAACCCGAAGCCAAUGAGCUUCCAAAAAGCAUCGUGCUAGGUAGAGAUGAGAAUAUAUAUAUAAUACUUACAUUAUCUACUCCCCUGGGCGAUGUGGGAUGUUACAAUCCACCCCCCUUAGGGGCCCGAUGUCCUUGUCGGCACACUUCCGGCCAGGGAUUGGCUCUGAUACCAAAUUGUCACAUUCCGGCCCCGGCCACCACCACAUUCCAGGCUCAAUUCCGCCAUAGCACGAUAUUGUCCGUUUU
rnacentral:lncRNA from 1 species